GGCUUGUCCCUGGGCCGGCGCGGCACCCGCCGGGAGCCUGGGCCCGGGCCCGCACAGCGUGCUGCGGGAACCCGGGCUGCCCCUGGGCCCGCGCCGCAUCCCACCCCGCUGGUUUGUGGAUCUGCCCCUGGGCCAGCGCCGCGUCCCGCUGGUUUGCAGGGCCCGCGUUGUCCCCGAGCCAACGUGUUGUCCCGCUAGGUUGCAGGUUGUUCGUCAGCCAGUGCAGCGUCCCGCUGGUUUGCGGGGCCGCAGGUUGUCCCUGGGCCGACACGGCGUCCCGCAGGUUGCUCCCGAUCCCUUCGUUCUGAGCCGCCCCUUCCCCCGCUUGUUGCCUGUGGCAGACCAUGCAGCUACCAGAGAUCUGAGAGCACUGCCUCGAACAGCCGCCGGCGACCGGAGCUGCAGAACAGACGCUGGAGUGGACGGAGAAUCAAACCUGGGUGGAGGAGCUGGAAGAAGGAAGCAGCAAUUAGGGGUAGUGAUUAGAAGUUGGGGGGAGUCAGCUCUCACAACCUGGUAACAGGAGCGACGGACAGCAGGCGUGGGCCCCCAGGGGCCCCCAGGCACAGUUGAGGCCCCCUCGGGUACAGGUGAAUGGCCCGACUCAGCUGUGUGUCUCGGCCAGCAACCAAGAAGCAGGCCUCUGCGAUUCAGAGGAGAAACUCAAGCCUCAUCAGCUUCCUUAGCGGAAGGCCCCCUCGCGACCCGAGCCCUCUGCAGCAAUGAAUGACACGCGCUUGCACAACUUGUCCACCUCGUACUGACGCAGGACGUGGCCAGUAACCUGGAGGAGGGCGAGAAGACUGUGAAGUGGGCCUGGAGAGCUUGUGCAAAUCGAGCAUGGGCCAAAGCGCCUCAGCUUCUGCCACUGCAGUGGUCCAGGCUCCCCAGGAGGAGGGCGAAAGCAGGCAGAGUUUUCGCCACCCAGCAAGAAGCUUUGCCCCAGCAGCGACUCCAAAGUUACAAGGGUGCAACGGAGAGGUGUAAGGAACGGAGAGGUUAAAGCACAGGGCAGAUGGGGGGAAGAGGUCCUGGCCAGCAACCAAGAAGAAGGCCUCCGCAAUUCAGAGGAGAAACCUAAGCUGCAGCUUCCGUAGUGGAAGGCCCCCUGCGACCCGAGCCCUUGCCGCUGCAGUGGUCAUAGCUCCCGAGCACAGCUCGCUUCGUGGCCGGCAACGAUUCCCCAGUUAGAAGGGAAGAAAGCCUCCACCGUUCAGGUAUUACACAAAGGGGAAGCCUCAGCAGUGCUUGUGGCCAGCAACCAGGAGGAGGAAGUAAUACAAGUUCAGGAACCAGGAGGUGAGCAUUUCCGUCACCUGCUCGGGGAAGGAGGCAGGGAGGGUGGGUGCAUAAUCACCUGCCUUACGCUCCGUAUCUGCUUUCUCGUCGUAAGGAAUCGAACUGUAAUUAUAAGUCUCUAUAUAAUAGUAUAUAUAACAUAGGUCUAUAUCAUACAGUGGCUACAUAGAUAUGGUGGAGGCCCAGGAUGUGUGUGAUGUGUGCCGGGUGAUAAGGCAGAUCUACUUGCUUUGAAAUGCUGUGAUAAGGAAUUGAACCGUUACAAUCAUUAUUAUUGUACACUAAAUCAUCAUUAAUAUUACUAUUUCUAUAAACUCUUAUUAAUAUAUUACUAUUGGACUUGA